UACACAUGCAGUCGAGGGGUAUAGUUCUUCGGAACUAGAGACCGGCGCACGGGUGCGUAACGCGUAUGCAAUCUACCUUUCACAGAGGGAUAGCCCAGAGAAAUUUGGAUUAAUACCUCANAGUAUAAUGAGUUGGCAUCAACACAUUAUUAAAGUCACAACGGUGAAAGAUGAGCAUGCGUCCCAUUAGCUAGAUGGUAAGGUAACGGCUUACCAUGGCUACNAUGGGUAGGGGUCCUGAGAGGGAGAUCCCCCACACUGGUACUGAGACACGGACCAGACUCCUACGGGAGGCAGCAGUGAGGAAUAUUGGACAAUGGGCGCAAGCCUGAUCCAGCCAUGCCGCGUGCAGGAUGACGGUCCUAUGGAUUGUAAACUGCUUUUGUACAGGAAGAAACACUGGUUCGUGAAC
rnacentral:rRNA from 1 species